AGUGAACGCUGGCGGUAGGCCUAACACAUGCAAGUCGAACGGCAGCACAGUAAGAGCUUGCUCUUACGGGUGGCGAGUGGCGGACGGGUGAGGAAUACAUCGGAAUCUACUUUUUCGUGGGGGAUAACGUAGGGAAACCUACGCUAAUACCGCAUACGACCCACGGGUGAAAGCAGGGGAUCUUCGGACCUUGCGCGAUUGAAUGAGCCGAUGUCGGAUUAGCUAGUUGGCGGGGUAAAGGCCCACCAAGGCGACGAUCCGUAGCUGGUCUGAGAGGAUGAUCAGCCACACUGGAACUGAGACACGGUCCAGACUCCUACGGGAGGCAGCAGUGGGGAAUAUUGGACAAUGGGCGCAAGCCUGAUCCAGCCAUACCGCGUGGGUGAAGAAGGCCUUCGGGUUGUAAAGCCCUUUUGUUGGGAAAGAAAAGCAGCAGGUUAAUACCCCGCUGUUCUGACGGUACCCAAAGAAUAAGCACCGGCUAACUUCGUG
rnacentral:rRNA from 1 species